rnacentral:rRNA from 1 species
CCUACGGGAGGCAGCAGUGGGGAAUAUUGCACAAUGGGCGCAAGCCUGAUGCAGCGACGCCGCGUGAGGGAUGACGGCCUUCGGGUUGUAAACCUCUUUCAGUAGGGAAGAAGCGAAAGUGACGGUACCUGCAGAAGAAGCGCCGGCUAACUACGUGCCAGCAGCCGCGGUAAUACGUAGGGCGCAAGCGUUAUCCGGAAUUAUUGGGCGUAAAGAGCUCGUAGGCGGUUUGUCGCGUCUGCCGUGAAAGUCCGGGGCUCAACUCCGGAUCUGCGGUGGGUACGGGCAGACUAGAGUGAUGUAGGGGAGACUGGAAUUCCUGGUGUAGCGGUGAAAUGCGCAGAUAUCAGGAGGAACACCGAUGGCGAAGGCAGGUCUCUGGGCAUUAACUGACGCUGAGGAGCGAAAGCAUGGGGAGCGAACAGGAUUAGAUACCCUGGUAGUCCAUGCCGUAAACGUUGGGCACUAGGUGUGGGGGACAUUCCACGUUUUCCGCGCCGUAGCUAACGCAUUAAGUGCCCCGCCUGGGGGAGGUACGGCGCGAGACUAACUACAANAGAGUAGACGCGNGAGACGUGCCGACGACGACGACGAGGGAGGAGG